rnacentral:rRNA from 1 species
UACGGAGGGGGCUAGCGUUGUUCGGAAUUACUGGGCGUAAAGCGCACGUAGGCGGCUUUGUAAGCUAGAGGUGAAAGCCCGGAGCUCAACUCCGGAACUGCCUUUAUGACUGCAUCGCUUGAACGUCGGAGAGGUAAGUGGAAUUCCGAGUGUAGAGGUGAAAUUCGUAGAUAUUCGGAAGAACACCAGUGGCGAAGGCGACUUACUGGACGACUGUUGACGCUGAGGUGCGAAAGCGUGGGGAGCAAACAGG